rnacentral:rRNA from 1 species
UACGUAGGUGACAAGCGUUGUCCGGAUUGACUGGGCGUAAAGCGCACGCAGGCGGAUGCGCGCGUGGGGUGUGAAAUCUGGCCGCUUAACGGCCAGGCGCCAUCCCAUACGGCGUGUCUGGAGUGAUGCAGAGGUCGAUGGAAUUGCCGGUGUAGCGGUGAAAUGCGUAGAGAUCGGCAGGAACACCCAGGGGGAAACCAGUCGACUGGGCAUCUACUGACGCUGAGGUGCGAGAGCGUGGGGAGCGAACCGG